GACCGAGUGGCGAAACACAUCGCGCCCGCACCCCAUACCCCGUUAAAGUACGUUAGAGGUAACGGGAGGCCCCUGUUCGACCCAGGGCUCGGUCG